rnacentral:misc_RNA from 1 species
UCCGAGUUGACCCCGGCAGUAUCCCAUGAGUUCCCACCAUUACGUGCUGGCAACAUAGAACGAGGGUUGCGCUCGUUGCGGGACUUAACCCAACAUCUCACGACACGAGCUGACGACAACCAUGCACCACCUGUAUACCGACCUUGCGGGGCGACGAUCUCUCGCCGUUUCCGGUAUAUGUCAAGCCUUGGUAAGGUUCUUCGCGUUGCAUCGAAUUAAUCCGCAUGCUCCGCCGCUUGUGCGGGCCCCCGUCAAUUCCUUUGAGUUUUAGCCUUGCGGCCGUACUCCCCAGGCGGGGAACUUAAUGCGUUAGCUGCGACACGGAGACCGUGGAAUGGUCCCCACAUCUAGUUCCCAACGUUUACGGGGUGGACUAC